GUCUAUGACCAUGCCACCCUGAACAAGCCCGAUGUCUGAUCUUGGAAGCUAAACAGGGUCGGGCCUGGUUAGACUUGGAUGGGAGACCACCUAGGAAGACCAGGUGUUGUUGUAGGCA
rnacentral:rRNA from 1 species